AAAAAGAUUCCUAUUUUUCCAAUUGCGCGAAGCAACUAACCCAACCCAAAGAGACAAGACCAAGCAGUCCCACAUCCUACUAACCUGAAAUGUGAGCAAAGAUUAUCAUUCAACCAUUCAUGUAAAGUUCUUGAGAAAACCUGUACUAUUGAUCAAAAGGGACAACAAGCGUCCAAACUUCCUUUGCUGUUGAGCAAUUGCAAAGCACAUGUAAG
rnacentral:lncRNA from 1 species